UCUCCAGCAGGUUUGCUCUGGCCAGGUGA
rnacentral:piRNA from 2 species